UCUGACAACCCUAGAGAUAGGGCUUCUCCUUCGGGAGCAGAGUGACAGGUGGUGCAUGGUUGUCGUCAGCUCGUGUCGUGAGAUGUUGGGUUAAGUCCCGCAACGAGCGCAACCCUUGAUCUUAGUUACCAUCAUUAAGUUGGGCACUCUAAGGUGACUGCCGGUGACAAACCGGAGGAAGGUGGGGAUGACGUCAAAUCAUCAUGCCCCUUAUGACCUGGGCUACACACGUGCUACAAUGGACGGUACAAAGAG
rnacentral:rRNA from 1 species